CAAAGAACUGCGCAGCUGUGUGGAUGAAGCAACGAAAUAGACAGAAAUAACUGAUCUGGUGAGUAACAUGGAAUUCAUAAAUGAUAUUGCAGAGAAAAGUAAAUUGCAGUUUGCAUUUAAUAGCAGCUAUUCAGAUGCUGUAUUGUGGCAAUCUUUAUACACACAAUGUGAAAUUGCCAAUAGUAAAAUUGACAAGAAAUUGUUUGUUAAUAAGAAAAAACAAAAGAUCAGAAAUGUUAUGAAACUAGUCUGUACUUACAAUGCAUUGAUUUGUAAACGAAAUGCAGGUCAAGACAAUUUAGAAUCAGCAGAAAAAGAAGUAGAUUUGAAUGGGUUAACAGAAGACAAAUCAGAUUUAAAUGAACAGUGUAACAAUGUAACAGAGAGAACAUUGUCAGAAAAAGUCUGUGAAUUAGAGGAUAGAGUUGAAUUAAGAAAUGAUCUUAUUUGCCAGCUUGGAAAUGAAGUUAAGCUAGUGUGUGUUAAUACAAGAAAAAUACAGGCACAGAAUUUAAUCCCAGAACCAAUAGAUACUGAAAAUGUGUCCUCACAGAGUGAUUUGCAGAAAUGUAAAUUUCAAGACAGAGCUGCAAAACUUAAUUUGAAAAUCCAGGAACAAUUAAUGAAAAUUGUGAAAUGUAUUCCAGUUUAUGACACGUCAGUGGAUGCAUUUACUAAUGCUGAAAUGUUUGAGUCAAAUGUGGACAAAUACAGCCUAAAUGACGAACAAAGGAAUAGACUAUUUCAAAUAUGGCUGCCGACUCAAAUGGCAUGUAGGCUGACCGCGCCUGUAAAAUUCGAGGACAAUGAUGAAAUAAUAUAUGGAAAUAAGCAAGACAGAUUAACACAAUUAAUAAAAUUAACAACAGGGAAUGAUUUUGCAGACACUGAAAUGUUGGAAAAACUAAAACCACACAAAGGGGAGGAUAUUUUUAGUUUUCUUGCAAAAUUUGAAAGUGCAUAUAGACUUGUUGCUGAUUUUUCUGAAGAUCAGUUAAUUAAUGAAUUUGUGAAAAAAUUUCAAGAUCUAGAUCCAACUGCAAUUGUGUUAGCAAGAGAAAAAAGCACUUUGACAGAAGUAGCUUUGUUCUUGGAUAACUUAAGGAGGGAAACCAAGAAUGAAGGGGUUAAAACGACUUGUGGAUUUAGGCAGAGGAAGAAGUGCAGAUUUUACACACCUCCUUCUUCUUCUUCGUGGACUCAGUGUAAAAGAGUGAUACAGACAGCAGAGCC